AGAGUUUGAUCAUGGCUCAGAACGUACGCUGGCGGCACGCCUAACACAUGCAAGUCGAACGAAGUAGCAAUACUUAGUGGCAGACGGGUGAGUAACAUGUAGGUAUCUGCCCUUUGGCCUGGAAUAACACGAGGAAACUUGUGCUAAUACCGGAUAAGUCUUUACGGAGAAAGCUUUAUGCACCAUUGGAUGAGCCUGCACUUGAUUAGUUUGUUGGUGGGGUAAUGGCCUACCAAGACUGUGAUCAAUAGCUGAUUUGAGAGGAUGAUCAGCCACAUUGGGACUGAGACACGGCCCAAACUCCUACGGGAGGCAGCAGUGGGGAAUCUUGCACAAUGGAGGAAACUCUGAUGCAGCGAUGCCGCGUGAGUGAAGAAGGCCUUUGGGUUGUAAAGCUCUUUCGUCGGGGAAGAAAAUGACUGUACCCGAAUAAGAAGGUCCGGCUAACUUCGUGCCAGCAGCCGCGGUAAUACGAAGGGACCUAGCGUAGUUCGGAAUUACUGGGCUUAAAGAGUUCGUAGGUGGUUGAAAAAGUUGGUGGUGAAAUCCCAGAGCUUAACUCUGGAACUGCCAUCAAAACUUUUCAGCUAGAGUAUGAUAGAGGAAAGCAGAAUUUCUAGUGUAGAGGUGAAAUUCGUAGAUAUUAGAAAGAAUACCAAUUGCGAAGGCAGCUUUCUGGAUCAUUACUGACACUGAGGAACGAAAGCAUGGGUAGCGAAGAGGAUUAGAUACCCUCGUAGUCCAUGCCGUAAACGAUGUGUGUUAGACGUUGGAAAUUUAUUUUCAGUGUCGCAGCGAAAGCGAUAAACACACCGCCUGGGGAGUACGACCGCAAGGUUAAAACUCAAAUGAAUUGACGGGGACCCGCACAAGUAGUGGAGCAUGUGGUUUAAUUCGAAGAUACGCGCAGAACCUUACCAACACUUGACAUGUUCGUCGCGACUUUAAGAGAUUAAAGUUUUCGGUUCGGCCGGACGAAACACAGGUGCUGCAUGGCUGUCGUCAGCUCGUGUCGUGAGAUGUUGGGUUAAGUCCCGCAACGAGCGCAACCCUCACUUUUAGUUGCCAUCAUUAAGUUGGGCACUCUGAAAGAACUGCCAGUGAUAAGCUGGAGGAAGGUGGGGAUGACGUCAAGUCCUCAUGGCCCUUACGUGUUGGGCUACACACGUGCUACAAUGGUAUCUACAACAGGAAGCAAAACUGCGAAGUUAAGCAAAUCCUUAAAAGAUACCUCAGUUCGGAUUGCACUCUGCAACUCGAGUGCAUGAAGCUGGAAUUACUAGUAAUCGUGGAUCAGCGUGCCACGGUGAAUGCGUUCCCGGGUCUUGUACACACCGCCCGUCACACCAUGGGAGUUGGUUCUACCUUAAGGCAAGGUUUCAUACCCUUGACCACGGUAUAGUCAGCGACUGGGGUGAAGUCGUAACAAGGUAGCCGUA
rnacentral:rRNA from 1 species